CACCUUAGACACCAGGUGAGCUUGCGGGAUGACCUCCUUCAGCUCUACUCAGACUCUGAUGAAGAGGAGGAACAGCAGUGUGGUCAUCCCUGUGAAGCCCCUGAGCUAUGGCUCUGACAGAGUCACAGCCGCUGCACCACGGUCCUCAGCUAGAAGCCCUGCAGGCGCAGCUGAGGCUGCUGGAGGAGGAGCACCAGCAGCUGAGAGAGGAGGCCUCGCAGCUUGAUGCCCUUGAGGAGGAGGAGCAGAUGCUCAUUCUGGAAUGUGUGGAGCAGUUUUGUAUGUGAAGUUGUAAUUGGAAGGGGUUUGUCCCAAGGAGCAGAGGGAAGAACUCAGAACUCUGGGUCUGGAAACCCGAGUUCAAGUCCCAGCUCUGGCACGUCCUAGCUGUGUGAGUUUAGACAAGUUCCUUGACCUCUCUGAACCUUCAUCUUUAAAAUGGGGAUUACUAAUCUCAGCCCUGCUGACCUCUGCAGGGGUUACAGCUGAGGAAAUGUUUUAUAUAAACUGUAAAGAGCUAUACAGAGGCUGUGGGUCUCCUCUAAGCCAGUCUCCCUUUGUUAUUUGGGGCAAGGAGAGGGAGGGAGCUGUGAGCUUCCACAGACCAGGCACCCCAAGGCACUGGGGUUGGGGUAAUUCAGAGUUGCUCAUUAAGCAAUGGCUUUGCCUGGCAUUGUGCGUUUAUGAAGAUGAGUGAGGCACAGGGUUUGUCCCUGAGGAGCUCAAGUCUGGCUGGUGAGAUACAGGCUCAAGGUGGCAACAGCUGUUCCCUUCAUCCCAAACCUGACCUUUCUUCCCCAUGGGUUCCCUAGCUCCCUGAAUGGCUCCAAUGGUCCCCAGACCUCUGAGGAAGGAGCCAGUCCUCAUAUUCUGUUGCUUCUCCCUCCUGGGAAAGGUUCAAGUCUCUUUUCUCCUUCCUAGCCCAGCUGCCUCUUAGCUGGUUUCCCUGUCUCCACUCCUGCCCUUCCAGGCCCACAGCCCAAAAUGAGUUUUCUAAAACCAGAUCUGACUAUGUCACUCUUCUGCCUAAAACUCCCAGAUACCUUCCAAUUGGCCAAAGGAUAAAGCCCAACCUCCCUAUCCAGGCUUUGUGAUUGGAGCCCUGCCCACGGCCCCAGCCACUCCUCCCCAUAUGUCCUUUGAUGGCCUCUGGGCCCUGCUUGGGCCAUGUCUUCUCUUAUGCCUGGCUGAGCCCCAUUUGCCUCGUGGACGUCUUUGCUUUACAGACUUUGCAUGACUGAGCUGGGUUGCCACCUCUGUGACCCCCAAUCCGUCCUUGACACUUGCUCCAUCACAGCCUGUAGUAUGCACCAUUGUGAUUUCUUUUUCCAUCAGUCUCCCUGCUCCACUUGAGCUCAGAGUAGGCUGGGACCAGGUCUUGCUGGCUGCUUACCCAAUGCCUUGCUCUGUGUCAAGUCAAUAAAGAUUUAUUGGAAAGAAGACCUGAGUUAGGAAUGCUCUCCCAGUGGAUCCUGGGUACUCCGUAGGAGCUGAGGGUGGGGGUGGACAGAGGC